CAGUCGAACGAGAGAUGAGGAGCUUACUCUUCAAAUCGAGUGGCGAACGGGUGCGUUAAGCGUGAGGAACCUGCCUCAAAGAGGGGGACAACAGUUGGAAACGACUGCUAAUACCGCAUAAGCCCACGGCUCGGCAUCGAGCAGAGGGAAAAGGAGCAAUCCGCUUUGAGAUGGCCUCGCGUCCGAUUAGCUAGUUGGUGAGGUAACGGCCCACCAAGGCGACGAUCGGUAGCCGGACUGAGAGGUUGAACGGCCACAUUGGGACUGAGACACGGCCCAGACUCCUACGGGAGGCAGCAGUGGAGAAUAUUGCACAAUGGGGGAAACCCUGAUGCAGCGACGCCGCGUGGAGGAAGAAGGUCUUCGGAUUGUAAACUCCUGUUGUUGAGGAAGAUAAUGACGGUACUCGACAAGGAAGUGACGGCUAACUACGUGCCAGCAGCCGCGGUAAAACGUAGGUCACAAGCGUUGUCCGGAAUUACUGGGUGUAAAGGGAGCGCAGGCGGGAGAACAAGUUGGAAGUGAAAUCCAUGGGCUCAACCCAUGAACUGCUUUCAAAACUGUUUUUCUUGAGUAGCGCAGAGGUAGGCGGAAUUCCCGGUGUAGCGGUGGAAUGCGUAGAUAUCGGGAGGAACACCAGUGGCGAAGGCGGCCUACUGGGCACCAACUGACGCUGAGGCUCGAAAGU
rnacentral:rRNA from 1 species